UACGAGGGGGGCGAGCGUUGUUCGGAAUUAUUGGGCGUAAAGGGUGCGUAGGCGGUUUGGUAAGUCUUAUGUGAAAUCUACAGGCUCAACUUGUAGUCUGCAUGAGAAACUGCCGGGCUUGAGUAUGGGAGAGGUGAGUGGAAUUCCUGGUGUAGCGGUGAAAUGCGUAGAUAUCAGGAGGAACACCUGCGGUGUAGACGGCUUACUGGACCAUCACUGACGCUGAGGCACGAAAGCGUGGGUAGCAAACAGG
rnacentral:rRNA from 1 species